GCGAGCUGUGUGCUGUGCUCUGUGUGCUCUGACCUAUAUUUUGUAUUGCAAGCAAACAAACGUAAAAGGAUUGUUUGCACUCACACUUGAAAAUGUUGCCUCUCUUGAAAGCUGAAUCUAAACAGAUGGGAACUCAACUUGAACCUUUGCUGCACGCUCCAAAUAAGAGCACUGAAACCAGGCUCCUGGUUGGGUAUCAUGACGUUCCCUGGCCCGGACUCUGUAAUGAAUGAUCAUUCUAAUUGACUAGGGUCUCCCUUUGGGAGGUCUGACUCGGAGAGCUGGAAAAAUGAACCAAAGUAAAAGUGAUUGAAACUCUGGGCGCCUCUCCCCCCCCUGCGAGGAUGGGGAAGCGCAGCCAGAACACCUUUCUUGUCACAGAACAGAUGGCCAGUAAGGGCAGUGCUGGGAUUGUGUGGCAAUCAGCGAUUUCAGGAGCGCUCCUUUCCAGGUGUGUGUGACCCAGGCAUCUAAGCCAGCACUUUUCACACUUGCUUUGACAGGGGAAUCGUUUUACAACAUAUUGAAGGCACACAUUCUCUGCACUGUACUGUAAUUGUGCACAAAAGCAAACAUGAAAAAAGCCUAUAUUAAUUUGUGUAACGUGGUUAAUUGUUUACCAUAUUUUACUCCAUACAUUUCUGCACAUGCCUUAUCUCUCCACUCAUUUUAAACCCAAGUUCUACUUUCAGCAAACUGAUUUAA